CAGCCGCCGCGGUAAUACGUAGGUGGCAAGCGUUGUCCGGAAUUAUUGGGCGUAAAGGGCUCGCAGGCGGUUUCUUAAGUCUGAUGUGAAAGCCCCCGGCUCAACCGGGGAGGGUCAUUGGAAACUGGGAAACUUGAGUGCAGAAGAGGAGAGUGGAAUUCCACGUGUAGCAGUGAAAUGCGUAGAGAUGUGGAGGAACACCAGUGGCGAAGGCGACUCUCUGGUCUGUAACUGACGCUGAGGAGCGAAAGCGUGGGGAGCAAACAGGAUUAGAUACCCGCGUAGUCCCUGUCUCUUAUAC
rnacentral:rRNA from 1 species